GUGAGUGGGGCAGAAUACUUUCAGUAUGCUUCGAACGCGUCGACAUCUGUCUCUCAGACUAUGAGCAUUUCCGGGAGCGUGUUACUUUGAACAGGGUGCCACUACAACGUUGAUCGUCUCACCUGGAUACCCAUUAACCGGCAGUUACAUGGUGCAAAUGUAAGAACAGAUCCUGCAGACCUGAAUGAUCCUUUCUACUCUACCGGGAGCAUGGCCACGGAGGUGUCGAUCUCACC